UACGGGGGGGGUAAGCGUUGUUCGGAAUUACUGGGCGUAAAGGGCGCGUAGGCGGGAUGGCAAGUCGGUCGUGAAAUCCUUCGGCUCAACCGAAGAACGUCGAUCGAUACUGCUGUUCUUGAGGGUUGCAGAGGAGACUGGAAUUCCCGGUGUAGCGGUGAAAUUCGUAGAUAUCGGGAGGAACACCGGUGGCGAAGGCGGCGGCCUGGGUUGACACUGACGCUGAGGCGCGAAAGCGUGGGGAGCAAACAGG
rnacentral:rRNA from 1 species